AGAUUGAACGCUGGCGGAAUGCCUUACACAUGCAAGUCGAACGGCAGCACGGGAGCAAUCCUGGUGGCGAGUGGCGAACGGGUGAGUAAUACAUCGGAACGUGCCCAAUCGUGGGGGAUAACGUAGCGAAAGCUACGCUAAUACCGCAUACGAUCUACGGAUGAAAGCAGGGGAUCGCAAGACCUUGCGCGAAUGGAGCGGCCGAUGGCAGAUUAGGUAGUUGGUGGGGUAAAGGCUCACCAAGCCUUCGAUCUGUAGCUGGUCUGAGAGGACGACCAGCCACACUGGGACUGAGACGACGGCCCAGACUCCUACGGGAGGCAGCAGUGGGAAUUUGGACAAGUGGCGCGAAGCCUGAUCCAGCCAUCCGCGUGCAGGAUGAAGGCCUUCGGUUGUAAACGUGU
rnacentral:rRNA from 1 species